UACAGAGGGUGCAAGCGUUGUUCGGAAUUACUGGGCGUAAAGCGUGCGUAGGUGGUUUGUUAAGUCUGAUGUGAAAGCCCUGGGCUCAACCUGGGAAUUGCAUUGGAUACUGGCAGGCUAGAGUGCGGUAGAGGGUAGUGGAAUUCCCGGUGUAGCAGUGAAAUGCGUAGAGAUCGGGAGGAACACCAGUGGCGAAGGCGACUACCUGGACCAGCACUGACACUGAGGCACGAAAGCGUGGGGAGCAAACAGGG
rnacentral:rRNA from 1 species